GGCACCGACGGCGAGAGGCGAAGGGCGGCGGCAGGUCGAGAGGGCGGCGGCUGCGACUGCCGGGCUAGCUGGAAGCGAAGGAAGAGUGACGGCAUGGGUUUCUCCAUGACGUCGGGGGAAACGGGAGGUGUAGGACAGCGCUGUGCCACGGAAUGAUUAUAUCUGUGGAGUAUCAGUGGAAGUGGUUGCUGAAGAAUCUGGAAACGAAAAAGAAGACUAUGGCAUGGAGGAGUAGCGUGAAGGAGACAUCACCAAGGCUCCUGCGCAGCUAGCGUGCUCCAGCACGCCUGGGGACUGGUUCACGCUUCUCAAAUUUACGACUGGAAACAGUGGGGUACCUUCAGAUAGGAGGGACCUCAGCCUACGGCAAGCUGAUCGUGUGUUGUCUGGGAGCAGACAAGGGACCUACUGUUAGUAAAUGGUCACAGGAGCAGCUCCACAGCUGCGGAUUUCAAGACUAAAAUGAAUUUUGCAACUGAUGGUCUUUGUUAGCAUGCUUGAAGGAGCAGAGAAUAGAAACAAAAUCUAGUGUUAGGUGGCAUGGGUCUUCCUUACAGUGCACUGUGGAAGUUAAGGCAGCUGUGUGAGAUGCAAACGCAAAAGGCACUCGAGAGGAUGAUAACCCUGUAUGCUUGGCAAGUGGAUUGCCGGUUUUUAUGGAAACUGAAGAAAGUAAAUUGUGUUUGGGUAGAUCAUAGAGAGUGAAGGCAGGAUAAAUUGGUGCUAGAGGAGAAGCGAUUACUUCUUGGCACAAGUGAAGAUCAUUUCACUCUAGUUUGUUGACCAGAGUUGAUAUCUCCACUGUAAUACAUCAGUUGAACCCAA